ACGAAGGGUGCAAGCGUUAAUCGGAAUUACUGGGCGUAAAGGGUGCGUAGGCGGUUCGUUAAGUCUGUCGUGAAAUCCCCGGGCUCAACCUGGGAAUGGCGAUGGAUACUGGCGAGCUAGAGUGUGGUAGAGGGUGGCGGAAUUCCCGGUGUAGCAGUGAAAUGCGUAGAGAUCGGGAGGAACAUCCGUGGCGAAGGCGGCCACCUGGGCCAAUACUGACGCUCAUGCACGAAAGCGUGGGGAGCAAACAGGA
rnacentral:rRNA from 1 species